GACGAACGCUGGCGGCGUGCUUAACACAUGCAAGUCGAAUGGAAAGGCCCUGCUUUUGUGGGGUGCUCGAGUGGCGAACGGGUGAGUAACACGUGAGUAACCUGCCCUUGACUUUGGGAUAACUUCAGGAAACUGGGGCUAAUACCGGAUAGGAGCUCCUGCUGCAUGGUGGGGGUUGGAAAGUUUCGGCGGUUGGGGAUGGACUCGCGGGUUAUCAGCUUGUUGGUGGGGUAGUGGCUUACCAAGGCUUUGACGGGUAGCCGGCCUGAGAGGGUGACCGGCCACAUUGGGACUGAGAUACGGACCAGACUCCUACGGGAGGCAGCAGUGGGGAAUAUUGCACAAUGGGCGGAAGCCUGAUGCAGCAACGCCGCGUGCGGGAUGACGGCCUUCGGGUUGUAAACCGCUUUCGCCUGUGACGAAGCGUGAGUGACGGUAAUGGGUAAAGAAGCACCGGCUAACUACGUG
rnacentral:rRNA from 1 species